AGAGCACUCCUACGGGAGGCAGCAGUGGGGAAUCUUAGACAAUGGGGGAAACCCUGAUCUAGCCAUGCCGCGUGAGUGAUGAAGGCCCUAGGGUCGUAAAGCUCUUUCAGCUGUGAAGAUAAUGACGGUAGCAGCAGAAGAAACCCCGGCUAACUCCGUGCCAGCAGCCGCGGUAAUACGGAGGGGGUUAGCGUUGUUCGGAAUUACUGGGCGUAAAGCGCGCGUAGGCGGAUUAGUCAGUCAGAGGUGAAAUCCCGGGGCUCAACCCCGGAACUGCCUUUGAUACUGCUAGUCUUGAGUUCGAGAGAGGUGAGUGGAAUUCCGAGUGUAGAGGUGAAAUUCGUAGAUAUUCGGAGGAACACCAGUGGCGAAGGCGGCUCACUGGCUCGAUACUGACGCUGAGGUGCGAAAGUGUGGGGAGCAAACAGGAUUAGAUACCCUGGUAG
rnacentral:rRNA from 1 species